rnacentral:rRNA from 1 species
GAUGAACGCUGGCGGCGUGCCUAAUACAUGCAAGUCGAGCGAACGGACGAGAAGCUUGCUUCUCUGAUGUUAGCGGCGGACGGGUGAGUAACACGUGGAUAACCUACCUAUAAGACUGGGAUAACUUCGGGAAACCGGAGCUAAUACCGGAUAAUAUUUUGAACCGCAUGGUUCAAAAGUGAAAGACGGUCUUGCUGUCACUUAUAGAUGGAUCCGCGCUGCAUUAGCUAGUUGGUAAGGUAACGGCUUACCAAGGCAACGAUGCAUAGCCGACCUGAGAGGGUGAUCGGCCACACUGGAACUGAGACACGGUCCAGACUCCUACGGGAGGCAGCAGUAGGGAAUCUUCCGCAAAGGGCGAAAGCCUGACGGAGCAACGCCGCGUGAGUGAUGAAGGUCUUCGGAUCGUAAAACUCUGUUAUUAGGGAAGAACAUAUGUGUAAGUAACUGUGCACGUCUUGACGGUACCUAAUCAGAAAGCCACGGCUAACUACGUG